rnacentral:rRNA from 1 species
UAUGAGGGGGGCAAAUGUUGUUCGGAAUCACUGGGCGUAAAGGGAGCGUAGGCGGGUUUUUAAGUUAGGUGUUUAAUACCGGGGCCCAACCCCGGACCGGCACUUAAAACUGGGAAUCUUGAAUAGUGGAGAGGUCAGUGGAAUUGGGGGUGUAGCGGUGGAAUGCGUAGAGAUCCCCAAGAACACCAGUUGCGAAGGCGGCUGACUGGACACAUAUUGACGCUGAGGCUCGAAAGCAUGGGGAGCAAACAGG